CCAACGGCCCUCUUUAGGGCCACAAAUGAACGACGAAUACGCUUUUU
rfam:Oesophagostomum dentatum strain OD-Hann O_dentatum-1.0_Cont867236.1, whole genome shotgun sequence.